GGGCUGAUAGUUAAACCCGGUAUAACGCGCGCAUGGCAUGCGUGAGGCUUGGGGUUCAAAUCCCCAUCAGUCCA
rnacentral:tRNA from 1 species